rnacentral:rRNA from 1 species
UGGUGUUGAUUGCGGUGAGGGUCCACCCGUUCCCAUCCCGAACACGGAAGUUAAGCUCACCUGCGCCGAAAAUACUUGUCUGGAGACGGACCGGGAAGAUAGGUAAUGCCAACACA